UCAGACCUUAGUGCAGGGAGGAUUGGCAUUUUGAGAUACAUACAUUAAUUUAGUGAUCCGUUUUGGGCACUCAGCCUCAAAAAGGUUCGCCUUCAU